GGGUCUUCAGGGAUCAAGUGAGAAUGUCAGCAAAACAAACUAAAGUGAAUAACUAUUUAAUGACUCAAUUAUAAAUAUCUACACAUAUCAGUUGGCUCAUCACAAUGGGAUAAGACUUUUCUGUUGUGGAAAUUGUAAUUAAGAUAUUAGCAACUGGACAUGGAACAGAAGCUACAGAUUCCUGGAGAGACACAGGACAGAGAAAGCACAGGGACUCUAGUAACUCUCACAGCUGAGGAAAUAGAUAUCUCCUCUCCCCAAAGUGUGGUCUGCAGACCAGCAGCCUCAGCAUCACCACAAACUUGUUAGAAAUGCAGAAACUCAGGCCAAAUCCCAGACUUAAAUCAGAAUCUGCAACCUGACCAGGUUCCCAGCUGAUUUGCCUACUGACGUUUGGGAAGCACUGCUCUCGAUGACCUGGACCCUGCAGCUGUGUUGGAUCCCAAAAAGCCUUGGUCCUCCUGACCUCCUGAGGCCUGAUAGUAUGCAUCUUCCCAUAUUCCCAUGAAUCCUGGUCCAAGUUCAAGAAGUUAAUAAAUAGAAGAGCUGGGAUUCAAACAGAGGUCUGACUCUUUGAUCCAUCUGGGUAAAUAUAAUAUUGUAUUUCUAGUCCUUUUGCCCAGAAACACACUGUAUUUUCCCAUUCAUUUAAAGCUUCUAUUAUAGCUCAAUAAAGUUUUAUUACUUUUUUUCAUA